GACGAACGCUGGCGGCGUGCUUAACACAUGCAAGUCGAACGGAGCACCCUUGAAGGAGUUUUCGGACAACGGAUAGGAAUGCUUAGUGGCGGACUGGUGAGUAACGCGUGAGGAACCUGCCUUCCAGAGGGGGACAACAGUUGGAAACGACUGCUAAUACCGCAUGAUGCGUUGGAGCCGCAUGACUCCGACGUCAAAGAUUUAUCGCUGGAAGAUGGCCUCGCGUCUGAUUAGCUAGUUGGUGAGGUAACGGCCCACCAAGGCGACGAUCAGUAGCCGGACUGAGAGGUUGGCCGGCCACAUUGGGACUGAGAUACGGCCCAGACUCCUACGGGAGGCAGCAGUGGGGAAUAUUGGGCAAUGGACGCAAGUCUGACCCAGCAACGCCGCGUGAAGGAAGAAGGCUUUCGGGUUGUAAACUUCUUUUAAGGGGGAAGAGCAGAAGACG
rnacentral:rRNA from 1 species